rnacentral:ncRNA from 1 species
UGCUAAAGCGCCAGAACUAUUUGGAACGUCAAUCAAAUAGUUGACGAGGAAGAGGUGUAUCGAAUUUUCGGCGGAUACCUCUCGGUUGUACAUUCCAACUGUUACGUUUGCAUAAAAAACAAAAAGGUGACUUUUUGGACAACGAUGUAAA